UUGGUGGGUCUUCACUUCCAAAGUUACACCUGCUCCACCACUCUCGAACUGUCAUGGCUGUGUUUUGGCUCCCUCUAAAAACGAGCAAGACUACUUGAUUUCAGCUGCAAGUGAUCUUCUUAGAUUUCAUGUCAGUGAUGUUAUCACUUGUGUGGGGCUGUUAGAAACGAAUGAGGAGGAAGGACAGAGCAUCUCAAGCACAGAAGACCCUCCCAGAUGCUAAUGUGUCUAUUUCCAUUGGAUCACCAUUUGCUGUGGUUUUAAUGGCCACUCCAAAAUUCAGGUCUGCUUACAAAUCAUUGGAAUUCAAAACACAGGACAUGUGCUUUAAUAAUGGCCCAAAGAUCGGCAAGAGGACAGAUGAGGAGCAGACACGGAAAAGGAUCCCUGAAGUGAUGACUCCACUCAGACCAGCCGACAAGUCUUGUGGCCCCAUCCAGAAGAGGACCAAUUUCCACUCCCUCAUUCCCUUGCCUACCAAACUAACCUUGAAAAACCCUAGACUCUGAAUUUUGGGGAAGAUUGGUUUGAGUAUUAACUCAGUGUCUACCAGGUCACAUGGCUGGCCGCAUGUAAAUAAAACUCUUUAUUGUAGUCCUAUGAUCUCAGUGAAUUGGUUUCCUCUGUGCAGUGGGCAGGAAGAACCUAUCAGCAGUUACAACUGGAUAUUAUAGCAUCGGCUUUUUGAAUUUUCAGCUUGCAGGUGGAAGAUUGCAGGGCUUCUCAGCCUCCAUAGUCACAUGAGAUAAUUCCUAUAACAAAACACACACACACACACACACACACACACUCUCUCUCUCUCUCUUUCUCUCUCUCUCUCUCUCUCAAUCUCUCAAUCUCUCAAUCUCUCAAUCUGUGUGAGUGUGUGUGUAUUUUUUUCCUAGUUCUAGUGCUCCUGGUGAAAUGGGCUAAUGCCUCUGUUGAUUUCAUCCUACCCACUGCCUCUUUCUGCUUUUCUUCCUGUGCUUAAUCCUGCCUCCUUCACUCCUCUACGGUCAAAAGUCCCUAAAGCACUCUUCAGUAAACUUUGCACUCUAAUCUCUAUAUUACAGUCUAUUUCACAAGGAAUUCAGCCUGUAACACUUGUGUAUGAAUAGAAUGACGAAAUAAUUUCAGAAAGAAUGAAUGCCUUCCAUAGGACUAAAUCUCCUUUUAUUCCAAAUUGAAAGAUGAGUUAUG
rnacentral:lncRNA from 1 species